UACCGAGCUCGGACAUAGCUGUUACUUUCGCCCACUCAACUGUAAAGAGUCCACGGGUCCUCCUCUGCUCUUGCUCCCCCCCCCGCGCAAAACGAAAAUGCAUCCGUUUCUACUCCAUUCCCUUCUCAGUGCUGAGCUCUGUUGGCGCCAGUGGAGAAGGAAGCACCUUCCCAUGCAGUUUUCUGCUGCUGCUGAGAAGACCUACCUGGAAUCUGACCAGGGCCUCCAGACCUGUGUCCACCACCAGAUGUCUAUUGCAGCCCUGAAGCUGGUUUAAUAGCCAUUUCCACUCCCCCGGGGAAAUUUGGAGGCUGUACUUCUGUCCAAGGGGAGCUAAAACUUCUCAUCAAGGCUGGAGAUCUGCUGGCCACAGCUUCUUCACAGCAAAUCCUCCUCCUCCUC